UACGUAGGGACCAAGCGUUGUUCGGAUUUACUGGGCGUAAAGGGCGCGUAGGCGGCCAUUCAAGUCAGCUGUGAAAUCUCCGGGCUUAACUCGGAACGGUCAGCUGAUACUGCUUUGCUAGAGUGCAGAAGGGGCAAUCGGAAUCCUUGGUGUAGCGGUGAAAUGCGUAGAUAUCAGGAAGAACACCUAUGGCGAAGGCAGCACUCUGGGACGGUACUGACGCUGAGACGCGAAAGCGUGGGGAGCGAACAGG
rnacentral:rRNA from 1 species